CGCUGGCGGCAGGCCUAACACAUGCAAGUCGAACGGCAGCGGGUAGGAAGCUUGCUUCCUAUGCCGGCGAGUGGCGGACGGGUGAGGAACACAUCGGAAUCUACUCCGUCGUGGGGGAUAACGUAGGGAAACUUACGCUAAUACCGCAUACGACCUAAGGGUGAAAGUGGGGGACCGUAAGGCCUCACGCGAUGGAAUGAGCCGAUGUCCGAUUAGCUAGUUGGCGGGGUAAAGGCCCACCAAGGCGACGAUCCGUAGCUGGUCUGAGAGGAUGAUCAGCCACACUGGAACUGAGACACGGUCCAGGCUCCUACGGGAGGCAGCAGUGGGGAAUAUUGGACAAUGGGCGCAAGCCUGAUCCAGCCAUGCCGCGUGGGUGAAGAAGGCCUUCGGGUUGUAAAGCCCUUUUGUUGGGAAAGAAAAGCGAUCGGUUAAUACCCGGUUGUUCUGACGGUACCCAAAGAAUAAGCACCGGCUAACUUCGUGCCAGCAGCCGCGGUAAUACGAAGGGUGCAAGCGUUACUCGGAAUUACUGGGCGUAAAGCGUGCGUAGGUGGUGGUUUAAGUCUGCUGUGAAAGCCCUGGGCUCAACCUGGGAAUUGCAGUGGAUACUGGGUCACUAGAGUGUGGUAGAGGGUAGUGGAAUUCCCGGUGUAGCAGU
rnacentral:rRNA from 1 species